GGAAGCAAGCUAAUGCUAUCUACUGGUUUCACAAGAAAAAAAAGUCAGAAAAAACAAAACCACUAAAAGACAUCUUGAAUAAAGAAACAUUUCACUUUGGUGGACCAAAUCUUCAGGGAUGCAUUCAGUUUCUCUGACACAGGUACCUGUGAGCCAGCAAGGCACACUCAGGUAUAGACAGACGCAGCCCAGUCGUGUGGCACCCAUGAAUAGAUCCAGUGAGCCUGUGCAGCUGUGUUUUGAUCAGCAGAGAGGUUUCCUGGCAUCGAGAACUGAAAUCACCUUGUGGCUAUGACAAGCACAUCUAAGCAAGUCUCGCUCCCGCCCGGCUCUCCGCGCCCAUCAUCUCGCUGGCGUCACCCAUCUCCUUUGUUACCCCAAAGAUCGGCAAUUCUCGGCUCCUGCUGUGUCUCUCAGUGUCCAUUCACCCGGCUGGCAUUCCCAUCUUCAUGCCUUUGUUAUCCCAAGGGUUGGCACUUCACGGCCUCUUGUCUCAGCUCCCACCCACAGCUCAAUCUGCAUCUCAAUCUCAGUUUGUGAGCCGGGCUACCUGGACCAGCAGCAUUCCUCAGCAGCUGUCCAUCUGGAUUUAGGGAAUUCUGGGGUUAAACAAACUGUGUGGAGAACACACAAUUUCUGUCACCUCAGAAGGUUGUAGCACCAAAUUGUGGAGAUUACAAAAAUUUGUUUUCAGGAAUCUUGUUUGGCUAUCCCCAGGUAUUAGCAUCUAGCA